rnacentral:rRNA from 1 species
CCUACGGGUGGCAGCAGUCGAGAAUCAUUCACAAUGGGGGAAACCCUGAUGGUGCGACGCCGCGUGGGGGAAUGAAGGUCUUCGGAUUGUAAACCCCUGUCAUGUGGGAGCAAAUUAAAAAGAUAGUACCACAAGAGGAAUAGACGGCUAACUCUGUGCCAACAACCGCGGUAAUACAGAGGUCUCAAGCGUUGUUCGGAAUCACUGGGCGUAAAGCGUGCGUAGGCUAUUUCGUAAGUCGUGUGUGAAAGGUGCGGGCUCAACCCGCGGACGGCACAUGAUACUGGGAGACUAGAGUAAUGGAGGGGGAACCGGAAUUCUCGGUGUAGCAGUGAAAUGCGUAGAUAUCGAGAGGAACACUCGUGGCGAAGGCGGGUUCCUGGACAUUAACUGACGCUGAGGCACGAAGGCCAGGGGAGCGAAAGGGAUUAGAUACCCUAGUAGUC